UACAGAGGGUGCGAGCGUUAAUCGGAAUUACUGGGCGUAAAGCGUGCGUAGACGGUAGCGUAAGUCAGAUGUGAAAGCCCCGGGCUCAACCUGGGAAUUGCAUUUGAGACUGCUCUGCUCGGGUGCGGAAGAGGGAAGGCGGGAAUUUCCGGUGUAGCGGUGAAAUGCGUAGAUAUCGGAAGGAACGACCAGUGGCGAAAGCGGACUUCCU
rnacentral:rRNA from 1 species